rnacentral:misc_RNA from 1 species
AACCGUCAAUUCCUUUAAGUUUUAAUCUUGCGACCGUACUCCCCAGGCGGAGUGCUUCACGCGUUAGCUGCGGCACCGACACGCAAGCGUGCCGACGCCUAGCACUCAUCGUUUACAGCGUGGACUACCAGGGUAUCUAAUCCUGUUUGAUCCCCACGCUUUCGCGCUACAGCGUCAGAAACGAGCCAGUGAGCCGCCUUCGCCACCGGUGUUCUUCCCAAUAUCUACGAAUUUCACCUCUACACUGGGAAUUCCACUCACCUCUCUCGUCCUCUAGCUAGGGAGUUUUGGAUGCACUUCCUGGGUUGAGCCCAGGUAUUUCACAUCCAACUUUCCUAACCACCUACACGCGCUUUACGCCCAAUGAUUCCGAACAACGCUUGCACCCUACGUAUUACCG